UACGUAGGGUGCGAGCGUUAAUCGGAAUUACUGGGCGUAAAGCGUGCGCAGGCGGUUUUGUAAGCCAGAUGUGAAAGCCCCGGGCUUAACCUGGGAAUGGCAUUUGGGACUGCAAGGCUGGAGUGUGGCAGAGGAGACUGGAAUUCCUGGUGUAGCAGUGAAAUGCGUAGAUAUCAGGAGGAACACCGACGGCGAAGGCAGCUCGCUGGGACGGUACUGACGCUGAGGCGCGAAAGCGUGGGGAGCGAACAGG
rnacentral:rRNA from 1 species